UUGAAGAGUUGCCACCAUGUAAGGACUUUUGAUCUUUACUUAAAACACAGUAAAAAAAAAUAAAUAAAAUAAGAAAAUGAGCGAUGACAAUAGCAAUUUUGAGGACAUCGACAA